UAGUGUCCACAACUAAAGAAGAGAGGGAGUGUGGUGAUGUAGUGUCCACAACUAAAGAAGUGAGGGAGUGUGGUGAUGUAGUGUCCACAACUAAAGAAGAGAGGGAGUGUGGUGAUGUAGUGUCCACAACUAAAGAAGAGAGGGAGUGUGGUGAUGUAGUGUCCACAACUAAAGAAGAGAGGGAGUGUGGUGAUGUAGUGUCCACAACUAAAGAAGAGAGGGAGUGUGGUGAUGUAGUGUCCACAACUAAAGAAGAGAGGGAGUGUGGUGAUGUAGUGUCCACAACUAAAGACGAGAGGGAGUGUGGUGAUGUAGAAAAUAUCAGAAACUUUGAACAUCCCAUGGAGCACCAUUAAAUGCAUUAUAUAAAAAAAUGGAAAGAAUAUUGCACCACGACAAACCUGCCAAGAGAGGGCCGCCCACCAAAACUCACGGACCACACAAGGAGGGCAUUAAUCAGAGAGGCAACAAAGAGACCAACGAUAACCCUGAAGGAGCUGCAAAGCUCCACAGAGGAGAUUGAAGUAUCUGACCAUAGGACCACUUUAAGCCAUACACCCCACAGAGCUGGGCUUUACAGAAGGGUGGCCAGAAAAAAAGCCAUUGCUUAAAGAAAAAAAAUAAGCAAACACGUUUGGUGUUCGCCAAAAAGGCAUGUGAGAGACUCCCAAAACAUAUGGAAGAAGGUACUCUGGUCAGAUGAGACUAGAAUUGAGCUUUUUGGCCAUCAAGGAAAACGCUAUGUUUGGCGCAAACCCAACACCUCUCAUCACCCCGAGAACACUAUCCCCACAGUGAAGCAUGGUGGUGGCAGCAUCAUGCUGUGAGGAUGUUUUUCAUUGGCAGGGACUGGGAAACAAGACUGACUGAUGACGCUAAAUACAGGGACAUUCUUGAGGGAAACCUGUUUCAGUCUUCCAGAGAUUUGAGACUGGGACGGAGGUUCACCUUCCAGCAGGACAAUGACCCUAAGCAUAUUGCUAAAGCAACACUCGAGUGGUUUAAGGGGAAACAUUUAAAUGUCUUGGAAUGGCCUAGUCAAAACCCAGACCUCAAUCCAAUUGAGAAUCUGUUGUAUGACUUAAAGAUUGCUGUGCACCAGCGGAACCAAUCCAACUUGAAGGAGCUGGAGCAGUUUUGCCUUGAAGAUUGGGCAAAAAUCCCAGUGGCUAGAUGUGCCAAACUUAUAAAGACCUACCCCAAGAGACUUGCAGCUGUAAUCACAACAAUAGAUGGGUGUUGGUUAAAUGGUAGGUUCAGGUAGUCACAACAAUAGAUGGGUGUUGGUUAAAUGGUAGGUCCAGGAAGUCACAACAAUAGAUGGAUGUUGGUUAAAUGGUAGGUCCCGGUAGUCACAACAAUAGAUGGGUGAUGGUUAAAUGGUAGGUCCCGGUAGUCACAACAAUAGAUGGGUGUUGGUUAAAUGGUAGGUCCAGGCAGUCACAACAAUAGAUGGGUGUUGGUUAAAUGGUAGGUCCAGGAAGUCACAACAAUAGAUGGGUGUUGGUUAAAUGGUAGGUUCAGGUAGUCACAACAAUA